CAGGGUGCCAGGUUGGAGAGCACCAGAUUUAUCUACCCACCGAGAGGGCAUAGGCCAGGGAGUGGUAGGGCAGGCUUCCCUCCCAUGCUGCCCUGCCCGUGUGCCUCAGCCUUGCCCUGGAGGGACUCUGUCCCCAGGAGGUGAGGCGUUUACUCUCCAGGGCCAUUCUGGUAUGAGCUUUC
rnacentral:sRNA from 1 species